UACGGGGGGAGCAAGCGUUGUUCGGAUUUACUGGGCGUAAAGGGCGCGUAGGCGGCCAGCACAAGUCAGUUGUGAAAUCUCCGGGCUUAACUCGGAAAGGUCAACUGAUACUGUGCGGCUAGAGUGCAGAAGGGGCAACUGGAAUUCUCGGUGUAGCGGUGAAAUGCGUAGAUAUCGAGAGGAACACCUGCGGCGAAGGCGGGUUGCUGGGCUGACGCUGACGUGAUGCGCGAAAGCCAGGGGAGCGAACGGGG
rnacentral:rRNA from 1 species